GAAAACGUGCCCGAAAGAUAAGGUUCUCCUUGAUAGGGAGACUCAUAGGGGUUCAAACCCCCUCGUUUUCU
rnacentral:tRNA from 1 species